AGUUUAGUCAUGGCUCAGGAAUGAACGUUGGCGGCAUGCUUAACACAUGCAAGUCGAACGAGGUAUCUUAGGAUAUCGAGUGGCGAACGGGUGCGUAACACGUAGGUAACCUGCCUGGAAGUGGGGGACAACCAUUGGAAACGAUGGCUAAUACCGCAUAAUCUCACUUAGGUGAGGAAAGGAUCUUCGGAUCCGCUUUCAGAGGGGCCUGCGGCCUAUCAGGUAGUUGGUGGGGUAAUAGCCUACCAAGCCUUUGACGGGUAGCUGACCUGAGAGGGUGGUCAGCCACAGGGGAACUGAGACACGGUCCCCACUCCUACGGGAGGCAGCAGUGAGGAAUAUUGCACAAUGGGGGAAACCCUGAUGCAGCAAUGCCGCGUGUAGGAUGAAGCCUCUAGGGGUGUAAACUACUUUUAAGAGGGAGCAGACAAGGAGCGUACCUCUUGAAUAAGUCACGGCUAACUACGUGCCAGCAGCCGCGGUAAUACGUAGGUGGCGAACGUUAUCCGGAAUCACUGGGCGUAAAGGGUCCGCAGGUGGUCUUAAAGGUCUGGCGUGAAAUCAUCUGGCUCAACCAGAUGCCGCCGUCGGAAACCAUAAGACUAGAUUCACUCAGAGGUCGGUGGAAUUCCCGGUGUUAGUGGUGGAAUGCGUA
rnacentral:rRNA from 1 species